rnacentral:rRNA from 1 species
UACGGGGGGAGCAAGCGUUGUUCGGAUUUACUGGGCGUAAAGGGCGCGUAGGCGGCGUGACAAGUCACUUGUGAAAUCUCCGGGCUUAACUCGGAACGGUCAGCUGAUACUGCUUUGCUAGAGUGCGGAAGGGGCAAUCGGAAUUCUCGGUGUAGCGGUGAAAUGCGUAGAUAUCGAGAGGAACACCUGAGGUGAAGACGGGUUGCUGGGCCGACACUGACGCUGACAGCGCGAAAGCCAGGGGAGCAAACGGG